GGACAACAUCCCGAAAGGGGUGCUAAUACCGAAUGUGACAGCAAUCUCGCAUGAGGAUGCUGUGAAAGAUGGCCUCUGUUUAUAAGCUAUCGCUAGAGGAUGGGCCUGCGUCUGAUUAGCUAGUUGGUGGGGUAACGGCCUACCAAGGCGAUGAUCAGUAGCCGGUCUGAGAGGAUGAACGGCCACAUUGGGACUGAGACACGGCCCAGACUCCUACGGGAGGCAGCAGUGGGGAAUCUUCCGCAAUGGGCGAAAGCCUGACGGAGCAAUGCCGCGUGAGUGAUGAAGGAAUUCGUUCCGUAAAGCUCUUUUGUUUAUGACGAAUGUGCAGAUUGUGAACAAUGAUCUGUAAUGACGGUAGUAAACGAAUAAGCCACGGCUAACUACGUGCCAGCAGCCGCGGUAAUACGUAGGUGGCGAGCGUUGUCCGGAAUUAUUGGGCGUAAAGAGCAUGUAGGCAGUUUUUUAAGUCUGGAGUGAAAAUGCGGGGCUCAACCCCGUAUGGCUCUGGAUACUGGAAGACUUGAGUGCAGGAGAGGAAAGGGGAAUUCCCAGUGUAGCGGUGAAAUGCGUAGAUAUUGGGAGGAACACCAGUGGCGAAGGCGCCUUUCUGGACUGUGUCUGACGCUGAGAUGCGAAAGCCAGGGUAGCGAACGGGAUUAGAUACCCCGGUAGUCCUGGCCGUAA
rnacentral:rRNA from 1 species